rnacentral:rRNA from 1 species
UGGCGAACGGGUGAGUAACACGUGGGUGAUCUGCCCUGCACUUCGGGAUAAGCUUGGGAUACUGGGUCUAAUACCGGAUAGGAGCCAUCUUUAGUGUGGUGGUUGGAAAGCUUUUUCGGUGUAGGAUGAGCUCGCGGCCUAUCAGCUUGUUGGUGGGGUAAUGGCCUACCAAGGCGGCGACGGGUAGCCGGCCUGAGAGGGUGUACGGCCACAUUGGGACUGAGAUACGGCCCAG